rnacentral:rRNA from 1 species
AUGCAAGUCGAACGGUUCUCCUUCGGGAGAAUAGUGGCGGACGGGUGAGUAACACGUAGAUAACCUGCCCUGAAGUGGGGAAUAACAUCUCGAAAGAGAUGCUAAUACCGCAUAAGUUCUCUUUCGUUAGGAAGAGAAGAAACCUCAUACGCAAGUAGGGGGCUUUAGGAGGGGUCUGCGGCGGAUUAGCUAGUUGGUGUAGUAACGGUGCACCAAGGCGACGAUCCGUAGCUGGUCUGAGAGGACGGCCAGCCACACUGGGACUGAGACACGGCCCAGACUCCUACGGGAGGCAGCAGUGAGGAAUAUUCCACAAUGGGCGAAAGCCUGAUGGAGCGACGCCGCGUGAGGGAAGAAGCCUUUCGGGGUGUAAACCUCUUUUUUAGGGGAUGACACGUGUUCUUAGCCUAGCCUUUCGAGGGUAGGGGAGAGAGCACUAGGACAGUACCCUAAGAAUAAGCCUCGGCUAACUACGUGCCAGCAGCCGCGGUAAUACGUAGGAGGCGAGCGUUGUCCGGAUUUACUGGGCGUAAAGGGCGCGCAGGCGGCACGUCAAGUACCUCGUGAAAUCUCCCUGCUCAACGGGGAGGGAGCGAAGUAGACUGGCGAGCU